rnacentral:rRNA from 1 species
GAUUGAACGCUGGCGGAAUGCUUUACACACGCAAGUCGAGCGGCAGCGCGGGGGCAACCCUGGCGGCGAGCGGCGAACGGGUGAGUAACACAUCGGAACGUACCCAAUCGUGGGGGAUAACUAUCGGAAAGGAUAGCUAAUACCGCAUAAGUCCUGAGGGAGAAAGCGGGGGAUCGCAAGACCUCGCGCGGAUGGAGCGGCCGAUGUCGGAUUAGCUAGUUGGUAGGGUAAAGGCCUACCAAGGCGACGAUCCGUAGCUGGUCUGAGAGGACGACCAGCCACACUGGAACUGAGACACGGUCCAGACUCCUACGGGAGGCAGCAGUGGGGAAUUUUGGACAAUGGGCGCAAGCCUGAUCCAGCCAUUCCGCGUGAGUGAAGAAGGCCUUCGGGUUGUAAAGCUCUUUCGGCAGGGAAGAAACGGUUUGGGCUAAUACCCCAAGCUAAUGACGGUACCUGAAGAAGAAGCACCGGCUAACUACGUGCCAGCAGCCGCGGUA